GGGCCCGCACAAGCAGUGGAGCAUGUGGUUUAAUUCGACGCAACGCGAAGAACCUUACCUAGGCUUGAAACGCUAGUUAAUCCCGAUGAAAGUCGGGGUUCCGCAAGGAGAACUAGUACAGGUGCUGCAUGGCUGUCGUCAGCUCGUGCCGUGAGGUGUUGGGUUAAGUCCCGCAACGAGCGCAACCCUCGUUCUUAGUUGCCAUCAGAUAAUGCUGGGCACUCUAAGAAGACUGCCUACGCAAGUAGUGAGGAAGGUGGGGAUGACGUCAAGUCCGCAUGGCCCUUACGCCUAGGGCCACACACGUGCUACAAUGGCCAUCACAAAGGGCUGCAAUACCGCGAGGUGGAGCCAAUCCCUAAAAAAUGGUCUCAGUUCGGAUUGGAGUCUGCAACUCGACUCCAUGAAGCUGGAAUUGCUAGUAAUCGCGCAUCAGCACGGCGCGGUGAAUACGUUCCCGGGCCUU
rnacentral:rRNA from 1 species